CCUACGGGUGGCAGCAGUGGGGAAUAUUGGGCAAUGGGCGCAAGCCUGACCCAGCAACGCCGCGUGGAGGAAGAAGGCUUUCGGGUUGUAAACUUCUUUUCUGAGGGACGAAGGAAGUGACGGUACCUCAGGAAUAAGCCACGGCUAACUCCGUGCCAACAGCCGCGGUAAUACGUAGGUGGCAAGCGUUAUGCGGAUUUAUUGGGUGUAAAGGGCGUGUAGGGGGGAGAGCAAGUCAGAUGGGAAAACUCAGGGCUCAACCCUGAGCCUGCAUUUGAAACUGUUUGUCUUGAGUGCAGGAGAGGCAAGCGGAAUUCCGGGUGUAGCGGUGAAAUGCGUAGAUAUCCGGAGGAACACCAGUGGCGAAGGCGGAUUGCUGGACAGUAACUGACGCUGAGGCGCGAAAGCGUGGGGAGCAAACAGGAUUAGAUACCCUAGUAGUC
rnacentral:rRNA from 1 species